rnacentral:rRNA from 1 species
AGCAUGUGGUUAAUUCGAUGAUACGCGAAGAACCUUACCUGGGCUUGAACUGUGCAUGACCGGCGUAGAGAUACGUCUUUCCUUCGGGACAUGUAUAGAGGUGCUGCAUGGGCUGUCGUCAGCUCGUGUCGUGAGAUGUUGGGUUAAGUCCCGCAACGAGCGCAACCCCUACUCUCUGUUGCUAUCAGGUAAUGCUGGGCACUCUGAGGGGAACUGCCGGUGAUAAACCGGAGGAAGUGGGGACGACGUCAAGUCAUCACGGCCCUUAUGUCCAGGGCUACACACGUGCUACAAUGGCCGGUACAAUGAGUCGCAAGACCGCGAGGUGGAGCCAAUCUCAAAAAACCGGUCUCAGUUCGGAUUGGAGUCUGCAAUUCGCCUGCAUGAAGUCGGAAUCGCUAGUAAUCGCAGGUCAGCAUACUGCGGUGAAUACGUUCCCGGGCCUU